AACGUAGGGGGCGAGCGUUGUCCGGAAUUACUGGGCGUAAAGCGCGUGUAGGCGGAUUUUUAAGUCGGGUGUGAAAACUCUGGGCUCAACCGAGAGACUGCAUCCGAAACUGGGAAUCUUGAGGAUGGGAGAGGAAAGUGGAAUUCCUAGUGUAGCGGUGAAAUGCGUAGAUAUUAGGAGGAACACCAGUGGCGAAGGCGGCUUUCUGGCCCGUACCUGACGCUGAGGCACGAAAGCGUGGGGAG
rnacentral:rRNA from 1 species